rnacentral:misc_RNA from 1 species
GAAAUGCGAUAAGUAAUGUGAAUUGCAGAAUUCAGUGAAUCAUCGAAUCUUUGAACGCACCUUGCGCUCCUUGGUAUUCCUUGGAGCAUGCCUGUUUGAGUAUCAUGAAAUCUUCAAAGUAAAUCUUUUGUUAACUCAAUUGGUUUCUACUUUGGUAUUGGAGGUCUUUGCAGCUUCACACCUGCUCCUCUUUGUUCAUUAGCUGGAUCUCAGUGUUAUGCUUGGUUCCACUCGGCGUGAUAAGUUAUCUAUCGCUGAGGACACUGUAAAAGGUGGCAAAGGUAAAUGCAGAUGAACCGCUUCUAAUAGUCCAUUGACUUGGACAAUACUUUUAUGAUCUGAUCUCAAAUCAGGUAGGACUACCCGCUGAACUUAAGC